rnacentral:lncRNA from 1 species
AAAUACUUUGCAUGAAUAAAGUUUAAUCCUUUCCAGUGCUACAGUGAAAAUUUCACACUACAUUUCAUUGCAUAUAAGAAAGUAACCAUCACCGGAAGUAAACAACCCAAAUUUUACACUGGUAUUUACUGGUUACCUGCUUUGGUAACUAUGUAACGUUAACUUUCCAAAAUAUUUUAUUAGACCAUCAAAUAAAAAAGGAAUGAUGCUUUCAGACACCCAACAUACAUGUUUAUGACUCAGAAAAAUUUUAGUGCAUUGAAAUGCAGGGUUAAUUUUCUACAAUUGUCAAAUUCAAGGGAAUAUAUUUUUAGACCUACUUUCGUAUACAAC